UACAGAGGUCUCAAGCGUUGUUCGGAUUCAUUGGGCGUAAAGGGUGCGUAGGCGGCGCGGUAAGUCGGGUGUGAAAUCUUGGAGCUUAACUCCGAAACUGCAUUCGAUACUGCCGUGCUUGAGGACUGGAGAGGAGACUGGAAUUUACGGUGUAGCGGUGAAAUUCGUAGAUAUCGGGAGGAACACCAGUGGCGAAGGCGGCGACCUGGGCCAAUACUGACGCUGAGGUGCGAAAGCGUGGGGAGCAAACAGG
rnacentral:rRNA from 1 species